UGGAAGAGUUGCUGUAGCUGUCUUCGGAAAGCAUCAGGCCCGGACAUUUCUGGAUAUCUAUUGGAUUCAGACACUGAAGAAGAAGAUCUAUGCUUUACGAGAAAUCUAACAAGCAAGUGGAGAAGACCAGAAAUGAAAAAUAUAACAGCUAUAAUAACUAUGAUAAAAAUUAUAGUCGGGCUUAUUUUGUUACCAGAAGCAGAUUGUUUCUGGUGAUCGCUAUUAUAUGGCAACGAAGGAGAGGGAGAAGACGAGGAGGAUAAAAGCAAAGAGAGAGGAGGGUGAGACAAGUGACCACCUUUGUGGAUGAUUUGAGACUGAAUCCAAUACAUUUUAGUCAAUCACCAUACCAAACACCAUCAAUUAUCUCAAACUUUGUCGGAUUAAAC
rnacentral:misc_RNA from 1 species